AUGUCUCAUUAUCAGCACAAACAGCCCGUGAGCCUUCCCCCUGCCUUUAACCAGGAGCAGCGUAAGCAGCCCCUGCCUCAGAUCCCUGUCCCUGUCCCAUGGGAACAAGUGAAGCAGCCCACACCAGUACCUGCACCAUGCCCAGUGCCUGAGCAAGUCCCAGCUGUGCAAGAAGAGCCCACCAUUCCUGUGAAGAGAGUUCCUGUUCUUAUUCCACAGCCAGAGCAGAAAGGAGAUCAGCAACCAGAACAGCAGAGGGAACAUAAAGAAGAGCAGCAGCUGGAACAUAAGCAAGUGGAGCAGCUUGAAGAGCAGCUGGAACAUAAACAGGAACAGCAGCUGGAAGAGCAGCUGGAGCAACAGCUGGAACAUAAACAAGAACAGCAGCUGGAACAUAAGCAAGUGGAGCAGCUGGAAGAGCAGCUGGAACAUAAACAAGAACAGCAGCUGGAACAUAAACAGGAACAGGAGCUGGAAGAGCAGCUGGAGCAACAGCUGGAACAUAAACAAGAACAGCAGCUGGAACAUAAGCAAGUGGAGCAGCUGGAAGAGCAGCUGGAACAUAAACAAGAACAGCAGCUGGAACAUAAACAGGAACAGGAGCUGGAAGAGCAGCUGGAGCAACAGCUGGAACAUAAACAAGAACAGCAGCUGGAACAUAAGCAAGUGGAGCAGCUGGAAGAGCAGCUGGAACAUAAGCAAGUGGAGCAGCUGGAAGAGCAGCUGGAACAUAAGCAAGUGGAGCAGCUGGAAGAGCAGCUGGAACAUAAACAAGAACAGCAGCUGGAAGAGCAGUUGGAGCAACAGCUGGAAAAUAAGCAAGAGCAACAGCUGGAGCAUAAGCAAGAGCAGCAGCUGGAAAAUAAGCAAGAGCAACAGCUGGAGCAUAAGCAAGAGCAGCAGCUGGAAAAGCAGCUGGAGCAUAAGCAAAAGCAGCUGGAGCAACAGCUGGAACAUAAACAAGAACAGCAGCUGGAACAUAAGCAAGUGGAGCAGCUGGAAGAGCAGCUGGAACAUAAGCAAGUGGAGCAGCUGGAAGAGCAGCUGGAACAUAAACAAGAACAGCAGCUGGAAGAGCAGUUGGAGCAACAGCUGGAAAAUAAGCAAGAGCAACAGCUGGAGCAUAAGCAAGAGCAGCAGCUGGAAAAGCAGCUGGAGCAUAAGCAAAAGCAGCAGCUAGAAAAGCAGCUGGAGCAACAGCUGGAACAUAAACAAGAACAGCAGCUGGAACAUAAGCAAGUGGAGCAGCUGGAACAUAAACAAGAACUGCAGCUGGAAGAGCAGCUGGAACAUAAACAAGAACAGCAGCUGGAAGAGCAGUUGGAGCAACAGCUGGAGCAUAAGCAAGAGCAGCAGCUAGAAAGGCAGCUGGAGCAACAGCUGGAAAAUAAGCAAGAGCAGCUGGAACAUAAACAAGAACAGCAGCUGGAACAUAAGCAAGUACAACAGCUGGAGCAUAAGCAAGAGCAGCAGCUGGAAGAGCAGCUGGAACAUGAACAAGAACAGCAGCUGGAGCAACAGCUGGAACAUAAGCAAGAGCAACAGCUGGAGCAUAAGCAAGAGCAGCAGCUGGAAAAGCAGCUGGAAGAGCAGUUGGAGCAACAGCUGGAAAAUAAGCAAGAGCAACAGCUGGAACAAAAACAAGAACAGCAGCUAGAAGAGCAGCUGGAGCAGCAGCUGGAGCAGAAGGAAGAGGAGCUGAAGCAGCAGCUGGAGCCAGGGCAGGAGCCUGAAGGGUGCGUUGAAGUUACCAUCCCCAUGAAAGAUCCUGAGCAGGUCCCACAGGCUCCAGAAAAGAGCUUCCCUUCCGCGGAGCAGCAGCAGCAGAAGCAGCAGGUGCACUGGCCCUUCAAACAAUAA
ensembl:lncRNA